UUCAGUAACAGAGCCGCUGCCCUGGAAGCUUCGGCAUGUAUUUGCGGCCUGUUCUUAACAGACCACAAAUAUAAUCUGGAUGUGUACAGUUAUAUUUACGCUGAACACGGUCCGCUCUGGAUUGACUGGUAAUUAUAAGGAAACACCAGCAGGGCCGAGGCGACCAACUGAACGAUUAAAAUCAAUAAUGCCAUUAUAAAGGACAUUAUUUAAUUUAUCGUCGAAUGCUGAUUCUGUGAGCCUCAACUCUGAAUGAGUUUUUAAUAACCCUGAUUGCCUGAGUUGAUUUACCAGGCAUUCAAUCUGUUUUUCAAUAAGCGGAUUUCUUUUUUUGUUUGGCAUUUUAUCCUCCAUUGAGGUUCUGGGUUAAAAAUGGAGACCAACACGCUGCCACGUGUGGUCGUGCGCCGGACACGGAUAAGAAUCCGGUACUGACAGUUUACUGAAAGGAUAUAUCCCUGAAAAGCCAGGGCAUAACGCGAAAGCGCA
rnacentral:rRNA from 1 species